rnacentral:rRNA from 1 species
GGGGAUCUGCCCGAUAGAGGGGGAUAACCACUGGAAACGGUGGCUAAUACCGCAUAACGUCGCAAGACCAAAGAGGGGGACCUUCGGGCCUCUCACUAUCGGAUGAACCCAGAUGGGAUUAGCUAGUAGGCGGGGUAAUGGCCCACCUAGGCGACGAUCCCUAGCUGGUCUGAGAGGAUGACCAGCCACACUGGAACUGAGACACGGUCCAGACUCCUACGGGAGGCAGCAGUGGGGAAUAUUGCACAAUGGGCGCAAGCCUGAUGCAGCCAUGCCGCGUGUAUGAAGAAGGCCUUCGGGUUGUAAAGUACUUUCAGCGGGGAGGAAGGCGACGGGGUUAAUAACCCUGUCGAUUGACGUUACCCGCAGAAGAAGCACCGGCUAACUCCGUGCCAGCAGCCGCGGUAAUACGGAGGGUGCAAGCGUUAAUCGGAAUUACUGGGCGUAAAGCGCACGCAGGCGGUCUGUUAAGUCAGAUGUGAAAUCCCCGGGCUUAACCUGGGAACUGCAUUUGAAACUGGCAGGCUUGAGUCUUGUAGAGGGGGGUAGAAUUCCAGGU